AGCAGCCGCGGUAAUUCCAGCUCCAAUAGCGUAUAUUAAAGUUGUUGCAGUUAAAAGCUCGUAGUUGAAUUUCGGGAUCAGUUGGUCGGUCGUGCCUCGGUACGUACUGGUCAAAUUGAUUCCUACCUUCUGACGAACCACGAUGUCAUUAAUUUGGUGUCGUGGGGAAUCAGGACUGUUACUUUGAAAAAUUAGAGUGUUUAAAGCAGGCUCGCGCUUGAAUACAUUAGCAUGGAAUAAUGAAAUAGGACGUUUGAUUCUAUUUUGUUGGUUUCUAGGAUCGACGUAAUGAUUAAUAGGGAUAGUUGGGGGCAUUAGUAUUCAAUUGUCAGAGGUGAAAUUCUUGGAUUUAUUGAAGACUAACUACUGCGAAAGCAUUUGCCAAGGAUGUUUUCAUUAAUCAAGAACGAAAGUUAGGGAUCGAAGACGAUCAGAUACCGUCGU
rnacentral:misc_RNA from 1 species